rnacentral:rRNA from 1 species
UUCCUACGGGGCGCAGCAGUGGGGGAUAUUGCACAAUGGGGGGAACCCUGAUGCAGCGACGCCGCGUGGGCGAUGGAGCGCCUCGGCGCGUAAAGCCCUAUCAGCAGGGAAGAAGAUGACGGUACCUGACUAAGAAGCCCCGGCUAAAUACGUGCCAGCAGCCGCGGUAAUACGGAGGAUGCGAGCGCUAUCCGGAUUUAUUGGGUUUAAAGGGUGCGUAGGCGGUCUGUUAAGUCAGCGGUAAAAUUGCGGGGCUCAACCCCGUCGAGCCGUUGAAACUGGCAGACUUGAGUUGGCGAGAAGUA